rnacentral:rRNA from 1 species
UAGUGAGUUUGAUCCUGGCUCAGGACGAACGCUGGCGGCGUGCCUAAUACAUGCAAGUCGAGCGGAAUGAAGAAGAAGCUUGCUUCUUCUGAUUUUAGCGGCGGACGGGUGAGUAACACGUGGGCAACCUACCUUGUAGAUUGGGAUAACUCCGGGAAACCGGGGCUAAUACCGAAUAAUCCAUUUUGCUUCAUGGCGAAAUGUUAAAAGGCGGCUUCGGCUGUCACUGCAAGAUGGGCCCGCGGCGCAUUAGCUAGUUGGUAAGGUAACGGCUUACCAAGGCGACGAUGCGUAGCCGAUCUGAGAGGGUGAUCGGCCACACUGGGGACUGAGACACGGGCCCAGACUCCGUACGGGGAGGCAGCAGUAGGGGAACUCUU